rfam:Felis catus isolate Cinnamon breed Abyssinian chromosome A1, whole genome shotgun sequence.
GCCUGGGUGGCUCGGUCGGUUAAGCGUCCGACUUCAGCUCGGGUCGUGAUCUCGCAGUCCGUGGGUUCGAGCCCCGCGUCGGGCU